UGUUAAGCAACAUCCAGUAUUAAUUAUUUAAUCAUUUUUUUAAUUCUUUUUCAUCAGGUAAGAAGAGAAUAGCAUGCUUACUGAGAGGAUGGCUUUUCACUUAGCACCGUUGUGCUCAGGACUGAGCUCCAAAAGCAAGCACAAGAUCUCACCACACUCCAGGACCACACCAAAGGAGUUACCUCCGGAUGUGGCAGCCGGUGCAGCCUCCUCAAUGCUGAGCAGCUUCUCAGGGGAUGUGUGGCCUUUGCGAAGAAUGGGUCCUUUUAUUUGUGUUCUAUUCCCUAACAUUUUAAUAAAGCCUCGUUCAUCUCAACCAUCCUCUGCUGCUAGGAGAAACCCCCUGUAUGUGACAUUUUGGAGAGCCCGUUUUGGGCUGCUGUGGUCUUCUACUGCUUUCCUUUAGGACUCUGAUGAUACCUGUGUGAACAAGCAGAAGAGUGCCAUGCCAAGAAAUGGGCACAUGUAUUACUUGGGUGCAUCAUCUAAUCAAUUCCUUUUGUGUUAUAAUUCCCUCUGCUACACAAAGGACCAUGGAUCUUGCACGCUGCUGCCAUGCAUCGUUUUCUUUUCAUGAUCCUACACAUCACUGGUAUCUCCUUAUUCCGUUCCUUCAAGUUGCAGCCAUGCGCUUGACUGGAUUGGGUCCAUAUUGGUGAGGUACAGGAAACACAUGGCAGCUUGGCCCAUCUCUUUGGCUUCACCUCUAGAAAGAGGAAAGUCUUCAUGUCCACGUGCAAAUUUCCUCACACUUCAGCAGCCUGGCCUUUGGCCAGAGAGCCACCUUUGCUGGCACUGCUGAUACUUGGCAUGAAGUUCUCCCAUCCUAAUUCCUGCUAGGACAGAUUGUACAGAACAUGUCAUGGUUUGACGGCUGUCCAAGAGGUGCUGUGUGGGUUGGAAUUCCUCAUCUAGGUCAAGAUCGAUAGUCAUGGAAACCCUUGUGAAGCAAGGCCUGCUCCUCUGUUCCCUUGUUAUGGGGGAUUAUUUGAUUCACUUACAGGAGCAUGCACUACUUUGCUAAAUCUUUUUCAGAAGUGUUGCCAUGAAAUAUUUCCUCCAAGAGCAAUAAAGGACCCUCAAUAUUUUUAAGUCUGUCA
rnacentral:lncRNA from 1 species